GGCUCAGGAUGAACGCUAGCUACAGGCUUAACACAUGCAAGUCGAGGGGCAGCAUGUCGGUGCUUGCAACCGAUGAUGGCGACCGGCGCACGGGUGAGUAACGCGUAUCCAACCUACCCUUGUCCAUCGGAUAACCCGUCGAAAGGCGGCCUAACACGAUAUGCGGUUCUCAGCAGGCAUCUAACGAGAACGAAAUGUGAAGGAGAAGGAUGGGGAUGCGUCUGAUUAGCUUGUUGGUGGGGUAACGGCCCACCAAGGCGACGAUCAGUAGGGGUUCUGAGAGGAAGGUCCCCCACAUUGGAACUGAGACACGGUCCAAACUCCUACGGGAGGCAGCAGUGAGGAAUAUUGGUCAAUGGACGGGAGUCUGAACCAGCCAAGUAGCGUGCAGGAUGACGGCCCUAUGGGUUGUAAACUGCUUUUAUAGGGGGAUAAAGUGUGCCACGUGUGGCAUAUUGCAGGUACCCUAUGAAUAAGGACCGGCUAAUUCCGUG
rnacentral:rRNA from 1 species